AUUGAACGCUGGCGGCAGGCCUAACACAUGCAAGUCGAACGAGUGGCGGACGGGUGAGUAAUGUCUGGGAAACUGCCCGAUGGAGGGGGAUCACUACUGGAAACGGUCGCUAAUACCGCAUACCAUCGGAUGUGCCCCGAUGGGUUUAGCUAGUAGGUGGGGUAACGGCUCACCUAGGCGACGAUCCCUAGCUGGUCUGAGAGGAUGACAAGCCACACUGGAACGGAGAAACGGUCCAGACGCCUACGGGAGGCAGAAGUGGGGAAUAUUGGACAAUGGGCGCAAGCCUGAUGCAGCCAUGCCGCGUGUAUGAAGAAGGCCUUCGGGUUGUAAAGUACUUUCAGCGAGGAGGCGUUACUCGCAGAAGAAGCACCGGCUAACUCCGUGCCAGCAGCCGCGGUAAUUC
rnacentral:rRNA from 1 species